AGAGUUUGAUCAUGGCUCAGAAUGAACGUUGGCGGCGUGGAUUAGGCAUGCAAGUCGAGCGAGAACCCGCAAGGGGGACAGCGGCAAACGGGGUAGUAACGGGUAGGUGACGUACCCUCGGGUCGGGGAUAGCCACGGGAAACUGUGGGUAAUACCCGAUAAUCUCUGGAGGCGUGAUAGCUUUUAGAGCAAAGGUGUGAUUCCACCGGAGGAGCGGCCUGCUUCGUAUUAGCUUGUUGGUGAGGUAACGGCUCACCAAGGCGACGAUGCGUAGGGGGUGUGAGAGCAUGACCCCCACCACUGGGACUGAGAUACUGCCCAGACACCUACGGGUGGCUGCAGUCGAGAAUCUUCGGCAAUGGGCGCAAGCCUGACCGAGCGACGCCGCGUGUGGGAUGAAGGCCCUUGGGUUGUAAACCACUGUCAGAGGGGAUGAAGUGCAUGAGGGCAAUCUCUCAUGUUUGACAUAGCCUCAGAGGAAGCACGGGCUAAGUUCGUGCCAGCAGCCGCGGUA
rnacentral:rRNA from 1 species